rnacentral:lncRNA from 1 species
CCGGGUUCCCGGCGCCCCGCCUUCCCCAAUGCCCAUAAAAGCGCAUGUCCCCGUCUCGGUAGCCACUGGACACCUGCAUCUGCCAACAAGACCGGAAGCAGAAAGUGACAAAGACGGCGAAGUUUGACAGUCUGGAAAGCGGAGACCAGACGGGCUGACUACCUGAGAGCACCGCGACUCCGGACAGCGCCUCUCGGGGUCCGGGAUGGGCCCCGCUAUCUGCUUCAGCACCGUGGCUGCGGACAGCUCCUGGCGGAGGCCCGGGGCCCCCGACUUCGUUUCAGCACCCGGACAGCGGACAGCUCCCCGAGGUACCCAGGAGCCCCUGUGCCUUGAUGGGUGGUCAGAGGUGCCCGGCGCUUUUGGAGACUUGCCCCUCAUGGAAUGGAUUUUUCCACGAAUUAUUUUCCAGAUAAUAAGCAGGCGCGAUGAAACCGCACGUAGAAAUCUGUAAUUUCCAGCAGGUGAGAUGUCCAGUCGGUAGGAGUGUGGGUGAAUGGGCGCCUGCCAAGAUGACACUGUUGUGCUCUUUCCAGACUUCCGUGAGAAGCAUUGUGCCAAGCGUUUUGCAUAGAUUCUAUCAUGCCAUCUGCAAUCCUAGGACACGGGUGUUAUGAUGCCCAGGUGAGAGUUGAGAAAACUGAGACCCAGAGAGGGGCAAGGAAUUAUUAGCCCAAGGGCUCCCAGCCCAACAGUGAAGCUGCAAGUCAACCCCACAUGCAGCCACUCCGAAUUCCGUGUUUCUGACAUGCCUGGGGCGGGGGGGGGGGGGGGGAGUUGGGGCCUUGGAGAUCAGACCCUGCCUCUCUCCAAGAGGACCAGGAAUGGAAAACAGGAGGCGGUGGAGAAGCAAGAAGCCCGGGUGUUCCGGCUUGGCUCAGUUCCAGGGGCCAGUUACAGGACAGCUGUCCACUCGUGCCUGGUAGUUGUGGCAUCAUCAACGCCCACCCCAAAUUCUCUGUGACAUCCUAAUGAAGUCCAGAGACACCACGUCAAGCUCGUUCCAGCCUCAGAGUGCAUGCCUUUGCUGUUCCCUCAGCUUGGAAUGCUCUGCUCCCCAAGCACCCCAAGGCUCCCUCCGCCUUCUUAUCCAAGCCUCAGGUCACCAAGAGAAUCUUGUCUCCCCGCUCCCCCCCAUAGCAAGUCUAUAUUACACAUUCUCAUAGACACGGGAAAUCUUCUCUCUGGCACAUAGUCCAAUUCUUUGGUCUUAUCUGUUUACAGGGCUGUCUGUCUCCCCCCACUACACUGUGAGCCCCAUGAGGACAGAGACUGUGUUUGUAUUUUCCCAGCACUCAUGCAUGGCCUUGCACACAGCAGGUGCUCAAUAAAUGUUUGUUGAAUCAGUAAAGGCAUCAGAGGAUAAAACAACGUAUCAGUCAAUAAAGGAAUUGAUGGUUUCAGCAUGCA